rnacentral:rRNA from 1 species
ACGUAAGGGGCGAGCGUUGUUCGGAAUUAUUGGGUGUAAAGGGUGCGUAGGCGGUUUGACAAGUCUGGUGUAUAAGGCAACAGCUUAACUGUUGUUUUGCGCUGGAAACUGUUGGACUUGAGUUUAGGAAGGGGAGCUGGAAUUCCAGGUGUAGGGGUGAAAUCUGUAGAUAUCUGGAAGAACACCGGUGGCGAAGGCGAGGUCCUGGCCAUAGACUGACUCUGAGGCAUGAAAGCGUGGGGAGCUAACAG